rnacentral:rRNA from 1 species
CCUACGGGGGGCAGCAGUACGGAAUAUUGGACAAUGGGCGCAAGCCUGAUCCAGCCAUGCCGCGUGCAGGAUGACGGCCCUAUGGGUUGUAAACUGCUUUUAUACGGGAAAAAACCCCUCUACGUGUAGAGGGCUGAUGGUACCGUAAGAAUAAGGAUCGGCUAACUCCGUGCCAGCAGCCGCGGUAAUACGGAGGAUCCGAGCGUUAUCCGGAUUAAAGGGGUUUAAGGCGUAUUUAUAAGUAAGUGGUGAAAUCCUGCAGCUUAACUGUAGAACUGCCAUUGAUACUGCAAGUCGUGAGUACAUAUGAUGUGGGCGGAAUGUGUAGUGUAGCGGUGAAAUGCUUAGAUAUUACACAGAACACCAAUUGCGAAGGCAGCUCACAAAACUGUAACUGACGCUGAGGCACGAAAGCGUGGGGAGUGAACAGGAUUAGAUACCCCAGUAGUC